AGCGAACGCUGGCGGCAGGCUUAACACAUGCAAGUCGAGCGGGCAUCCUUGUGGUGUCAGCGGCAGACGGGUGAGUAACGCGUGGGAACGUGCCCUUCGGUUCGGAAUAACUCAGGGAAACUUGAGCUAAUACCGGAUACGUGCGAGAGCAGAAAGGUUUAUCUGCCGAAGGAUCGGCCCGCGUCUGAUUAGCUAGUUGGUGAGGUUACGGCUCACCAAGGCGACGAUCAGUAGCUGGUCUGAGAGGAUGAUCAGCCACACUGGGACUGAGACACGGCCCAGACUCCUACGGGAGGCAGCAGUGGGGAAUAUUGGACAAUGGGGGCAACCCUGAUCCAGCCAUGCCGCGUGAGUGAUGACGGUCUUAGGGUUGUAAAGCUCUUUUCUCCGGGACGAUAAUGACGGUACCGGAGGAAUAAGCCCCGGCUAACUUCGUG
rnacentral:rRNA from 1 species